rnacentral:rRNA from 1 species
GACGGGGGAUGCAAGUGUUAUCCGGAAUCACUGGGCGUAAAGCGUCUGCAGGUGGUUUCCUAAGUCCACUGUUAAACCUUGAGGCUCAACCUCAAAUCUGCAUUGGAAACUAGGAGACUUGAGUAUAGUAGGGGUAGAGGGAAUUUCCAGUGGAGCGGUGAAAUGCGCAGAUAUCAGGAGGAACACCAAUAGCGAAGGCAGCUCGCUGGGACGGUAUUGACGCUGAGGCGCGAAAGCGUGGGGAGCAAACAGG